rnacentral:rRNA from 1 species
AGAGUUUGAUCCUGGCUCAGAUUGAACGCUGGCGGCAGACCUAACACAUGCAAGUCGAACGGUAACAGGAAGCAGCUUGCUGCUUCGUUGACGAGUGGCGGACGGGUGAGUAAUGUAUGGGGAUCUGCCGAAUGGAAUGGGACAACAGUUGGAAACGACUGCUAAUACCGUAUAAUGUCGCGAGACCAAAGUGUGGGACUUUCGGGCCACAUGCCAUUUGAUGAACCCAUAUGGGAUUAGCUAGUAGGUGGGGUAAUGGCUCACCUAGGCGACGAUCCCUAGCUGGUCUGAGAGGAUGACCAGCCACACUGGAACUGAGACACGGUCCAGACUCCUACGGGAGGCAGCAGUGGGGAAUAUUGCACAAUGGGCGCAAGCCUGAUGCAGCCAUGCCGCGUGUAUGAAGAAGGCCUUCGGGUUGUAAAGUACUUUCAGCGAGGAGGAAGGCGUUGUGGUUAAUAACCGCAGCGAUUGACGUUACUCGCAGAAGAAGCACCGGCUAACUCCGUGCCAGCCGCCGCGGUAAUUC